UACGUAGGGUGCAAGCGUUAAUCGGAAUUACUGGGCGUAAAGCGUGCGCAGGCGGUGAUGUAAGACAGAUGUGAAAUCCCCGGGCUCAACCUGGGAACUGCAUUUGUGACUGCAUCGCUAGAGUACGGCAGAGGGGGAUGGAAUUCCCGGUGUAGCAGUGAAAUGCGUAGAUAUCGGGAGGAAUACCGAUGGCGAAGGCAGGUCUCUGGGCUGACACUGACGCUCAUGCACGAAAGCGUGGGGAGCAAACAGG
rnacentral:rRNA from 1 species